CUCCCAGAGGCCGCCUGGGGGCGGGCCGCACCUCCAGAGCCCCAGGCUUGCUCCGGCUCUGCUCCGGUCCAGCUCUCUUCCCCUAAUUGGCUUCUCCUGGGUGUGCUCACUUGGGAGCGUCCGAGCCUCGGAGGCAUCCACCGUUCUCCGAACCGCUCCAACAACUUAGAGCCAGUCCUGUCCGAAGCCUGCAAGUUUGAGGACUGCCUUUCGGGGUUUGUUACCGUAUCCUGUUUAGAGGCGUAAAAUUCCUUCACUGCACCGCGCUUAGUUGCUGUUUUGGGGCGACACAGGAUCACUGGAGAGGCCAGUAUCCCAGAGGAGGAGAAGAUCUCUAAGUGCUGAGCUCCCUCUCGCGCCUUUGGGAUAAAGUGUGCGUUGCCAGAUUCGCACUUGGCAGAGGUUUUACAUAGUCAUAGUCCUGACAUUGAAGUUCCCAGUCCGCGAUCGUCAGAAGGUGAAGCUGGUCCUUUGUGCGUCGGCCUCUGGGGAGACCACUUCUCCGUGCUCUCGGCGGCCAGUGGAGGCGCGCUGGUGUCACUGCCUCGCUUCGAGUACCACUUUCCCAGCCCCAAUCCAUCACUCGGAUUGUCAGGCCUGUCACUCGGGGCAGGUUGCUCCAGGACUACUCGUCCCUGACUCUGCGGCGCCUUGAGACAACAUGAGAACCCAAGAUGGGGAUAGAUGAUUUCGAAGGGGUUCUUCAAACAGAAAGGAAUAGCUACCACAGAAAUAACAAAUAGCGGUCACGCACCUUUAUCAUGCUCAGUAAAGACAGCAUGCACCACUCCCGGGCCAUAUGAAUCAUACAUUAAACUCAAUUUACUCCCUGGA